rnacentral:rRNA from 1 species
ACGCACGCUGGCUGCGUGCCUCAUACCUGCCAGUAGAACGCUGAAGGCGGAGCUUGCUCUUCUGGAUGAGUUGCGAACGGGUGAGUAACGCGUAGGUAACCUGCCUGGUAGCGGGGGAUAACUAUUGGAAACGAUAGCUAAUACCGCAUAAGAGUAGAUGUUGCAUGACAUUUGCUUAAAAGGUGCAAUUGCAUCACUACCAGAUGGACCUGCGUUGUAUUAGCUAGUUGGUGGGGUAACGGCUCACCAAGGCGACGAUACAUAGCCGACCUGAGAGGGUGAUCGGCCACACUGGGACUGAGACACGGCCCAGACGCCUACGGGAGGCAGCAGUAGGGAACCUUCGGCAAUGGACGGAAGUCUGACCGAGCAACGCCGCGUGAGUGAAGAAGGGUGUCGGAUCGUAAAGAUCGGUUGUAAGAGAAGAACGAGUGUGAGAGUGGAAAGUUCACACUGUGACGGUAUCUUACCAGAAAGGGACGGCUAACUACGUG